UUACGGUCAUAUCACGCUGAAACACCAACUCACGAGAUCACUGAAGUUAAGCAACGGCGGGCCUGGUAAGUACUUAGAUGGGUGACCGCUUGGAUAUACCACGCGCUGUAAG